GGGUUGAUAGCUCAGUUGGGAGAGCGCACGACUGAAGUUCACUUCAAUCAGCCAGAGUCUGGCAAUCGUGAGGUCACCGGUUCAAUCCCGGUUCAGCCCA